rnacentral:rRNA from 1 species
GUUCCGGGGGACGAGGGUGACAGGUGGUGCAUGGUUGUCGUCAGCUCGUGUCGUGAGAUGUUGGGUUAAGUCCCGCAACGAGCGCAACCCUCGACCUUAGUUGCCAGCAUUCAGUUGGGCACUCUAAGGUGACUGCCGGCUAAAAGUCGGAGGAAGGUGGGGAUGACGUCAAAUCAUCAUGCCCCUUAUGACCUGGGCUACACACGUGCUACAAUGGGCGGUACAAAGGGUCGCGAACCCGCGAGGGGGAGCCAAUCCCAAAAAGCCGCUCUCAGUUCGGAUUGCAGGCUGCAACUCGCCUGCAUGAAGCCGGAAUCGCUAGUAAUCGCGGAUCAGCAUGCCGCGGUGAAUACGUUCCCGGGCCUU